GGUGCGGAUGAUCUGAUAGUCUGUUUGCAUUGAAUGUUAAUAACAGGUAAUGUUAAUUAACAGCAGGUGCUGCACACAGUAUAUAAGGAGCGACCGCCUGUAACCUGGCUUCAGUCGAAGCUGCGAAGCGGGCCGGUGCGGAUGAUCUGAUAGUCUGAUUGCAUUGAAUGUUAAUAACAGGUAAAUGUUAGUUAACAGCAGGUGCCGCACACCGUAUAUAAGGAGCGACCGUCUGUAACCUGGCUUCAGUCGAAGCUGCGAAGCGGGCCGGUGCGGAUGAUCUGAUAGUCUGUUUGCAUUGAAUGUUAAUAACAGGUAAAUGUUAGUUAACAGCAGGUGCCGCACACCGUAUAUAAGGACCGACCGUCUGUAACCUGGCUUCAGUCGAAGCUGCGAAGCGGGCCGGUGCGGAUGAUCUGAUAGUCUGUUUGCAUUGAAUGUUAAUAACAGGUUAUGUUAAUUAACAGCAGGUGCUGCAGACAGUAUAUAAGGAGCGACCGUCUGUAACCUGGCUUCAGUCGAAGCUGCGAAGCGGGCCGGUGCGGAUGAUCUGAUAGUCUGUUUGCAUUGAAUGUUAAUAACAGGUAAAUGUUAGUUUACAGCAGGUGCCGCACACCGUAUAUAAGGAGCGACCGUCUGUAACCUGGCUUCAGUCGAAGCUGCGAAGCGGGCCGGUGCGGAUGAUCUGAUAGUCUGUUUGCAUUGAAUGUUAAUAACAGGUAAUGUUAAUUAACAGCAGGUGCUGCACACAGUAUAUAAGGAGCGACCGCCUGUAACCUAGCUUCAGUCGAAGCUGCAAAGCGGGCCAGUGCGGAUGAUCGAUAGUCUGUUUGCAUUGAAUGUUAAUAACAGCAGGUGCUGCACAGUAUAUAAGGAACGCGCAACUGUAACCGGGAUUCAGUCGAAGCUGCGAAGCGAGCGCGUGCAGAUCUUGGGUUGGUGAUAAAAUGCGUGUGUGUUAGUAUAAAAAUAUGAACAACAGAUCGUGUAUGCAAGCUACAUAGAAGAAGAGCGAGUAGUCUAAAUAAAGCAGCCAGCUAUAAAAAGGCACCAGUUGAAGCUGCGAGCCGACCCGGUACAGAUGGGCUAAUACAGGUGAAGCCCACAGUAUAUAAAGGGCGCCCCUUUGCAGCUGAGCCUCAGUCGAACUUGCGAGGCGGGCAGGUACGGAUGGUCCAAAAUUUACAGCAGAUGCAGCCAAGCGUAUGUAAAGGGCGCCCAUUUGUAGCCGGGCUUCAGUCGAAGCUGCGAGGCGGGCCGUUGCAGAUCUUCAUUUAAUCUUAAUGCGCGUGUGUGUUAAUAUAAAAAUAUUUGUAUUAUAUCGUAUAGGCAAGCUAAAAAGAAAAAGAGCCAGUACUGUAACUAGGCUUCAGUUCAAGCUAACUUGUCCUUAAUGAAAUAGUGAGUUCCUAACUCCAGCUCUUUAUCCAUAUUGCACCCUAUUUAAUGUAAUUUACAAUUAUUAUUGUGUCAUCCCCUCUCUGUGUGUGUUACUCCCUCUCUUUUCCUAUUCUAUAUUGUACAUUCCCUACAUUUCAAAACUCACGCA